rnacentral:lncRNA from 1 species
GAAGGGAAACUAAGGCAUAGAGUCACAAGUACUAAACAUGAAGCUUUUGCAAUAUCUCUUCUUCUGAAGUACACAACUUUAGCUACACCCAAGGUAAAAAUAUUGAGACCCAGAGAGAUCAAACAAGUGGACAGAUGCCACAUAUACUAGUAAGUGGCAGCAUAAAAUCUGAAAAGAGGUCACCAGUGCACACCGACACUCUGCCAUGCUGGAUCUUUUCUCUCUUCAUUCUAAAUGUUAUUGCCUAUUUUCAGAAGCUCAAUAUAUUUGUGAGCCACAAAAUGUGUCAUUAUAUCAACAGUUGAUCUAUGUCUGCAUGUUAGACAAUGACAGUUAUGGUCAAACACCUGCAUGGUCAAACCUCUGUGAUUAAAGAGAACAAAAGGAACAGAGUAGAAGGGUAAACAGGACUGUAGGAGGAAGACCAUGGCAGAAAUCCCAUUCCGUAUGUGCUUGCCCAGAAAUCAUGAAAAU